AUUCGUUUUCCUGCAUUUUAUUACUAGUUCGAUUGAAGGAGAGCUCGUAUUUAGUUGCUGAGUCAUUUUGUGGUCUGCUGUUUCCGUCUACAUCAUAACAAAAUGAGAAAAAUUCUCGCUGUUUUUGUGAUGUCUGUGUGCGUACAGAUGUUUGGUGGAAAUGUUGUUGAGGCGAAUUACGACAUUCCGUCUAACCACAACGGUAUAUUGGCAGAAUCUGAAGUCUGUAAUCCUGAAGGUGAAGUGAACAUACUUGUGAAAUGCCCGGAGGGUUAUCUUCCAGACCAGAAUGGAAGAUGCAGAGAAAUAUUCAAUAGAAGCGUAUUUCCGAAUGUCAAAUGCCCCGAGGGUUACCUUCCUGACCAGAAUGGAAGAUGCCGAGAAAUCUUCAACAGAAGCGUAUUUCCGAAUGUCAAAUGCCCCGAGGGUUAUCUUCCAGACCAGAAUGGAAGAUGCCGAGAAAUCUUCAAUAGAGGUGUAUUUCCGAAUGUGAAAUGCCCGGAGGGGUACCUCCCCGACCAGAAUGGAAGAUGCAGAGAAAUCUUCACGAGAGGUGUAUUUCCGAACGUGAAAUGCCCGGAAGGUUACCUUCCUGACCAGAAUGGAAGAUGUAGAGAAAUCUGGCAAUUUGAUAUAUAGUCGACGACGCAGGAGAUAUAAAUAAUGAUGAGAGCUUGUGAUAACUUUC